rnacentral:rRNA from 1 species
AGCGUAGGCGGGCUCUUAAGUUGGAUGUUUAAAACCGGGGCCCAACCCCGGCGUGGCAUCCAAAACUGGGAGUCUUGAAUGGGACAGAGGCCAGUGGAAUUGGAGGUGUAGCGGUGGAAUGCGUAGAGAUCUCCAAGAACACCAGUUGCGAAGGCGGCUGGCUGGGUCCACAUUGACGCUGAGGCUCGAAAGCGUGGGGAGCAAACAGGAUUAGAUACCCUGGUAGUCCACGCCGUAAACGAUGAACACUAGGUUUUGAGCUCGUCAACGGCUCAGAGCCGCAGCUAACGCGUUAAGUGUUCCGCCUGGGGAAUACGGUCGCAAGACUGAA